rfam:Gorilla gorilla gorilla genomic chromosome, chr6, whole genome shotgun sequence
GGGGGUGUAGCUCAGUGGUAGAGCGUAUGCUUAGCAUGCAUGAGGCCCUGGGUUCGAUCCCCAGCACCUCCA